CUCUUUCUCGAUUCAGUGGAUGGUGGUGCAUGGCCGUUCUUAGUUGGUGGAGYGAUCUGUCUGGUUAAUUCCGAUAACGAACGAGACUCUCCCCUGCUAACUAGUCGGUUGGAUCUUGAUCAGUGGGUUGAGUGCCGAGUAACUCUCGCUGUGCGUGGUGUGCGUUUCGUUCCUCACGGUUCGUUGCGUGCUCAUGUGUGGCGUUGGAUGCCUUGGAUCACACUGCACCCCAAGUCCGCCGCUUUGCUAUAACUCUUCUUAGAGGGAUUCACGGCACUGAAGCCGUAAGAGACUGAGAGCAAUAACAGGUCUGUGAUGCCCUUAGAUGCUCUGGGCCGCACGCGCGCUACAAUGCCGGGCACAGCAGGUGUUUCUCCUGCUCCGACAGGAGCGGGUAACCCUCUGAAAGCCAGUGUUCUUGCAAGUGCUUCCUCCCUCGUGGAGUUGCACAGAGGCGUGCUUGGGCCUGGGACUUGCAAUUCUUUCCCACCAACGAGGAAUGCCUAGUAGCGGCGGGUCACUGAGCCCGCUGUGACUCAGUCCCUGCCCUUUGUACACACCGCCCGUCGCUACUACCGAUUGGGUGUACCAGUGAGAGCCUUGGACUGGCGUCCGGUGUUGCUCGCAAGAGUGACAAGCGGGUCCGACGGAAAGAGG
rnacentral:rRNA from 1 species